rnacentral:tRNA from 2 species
GUCGUCUUAGCUCAGUUGGGAGAGCGUCAGACUGAAGUCUCAAAUUCGGUCAUAAAAUCUGAAGGUCGUGUGUUCAAUCCACACAGACGACA